UGUUAUUACAUUAUUGCGUUUCAAUUGUGUGUUUUCAUUUUGGCCUCACGUAAAUCCACGGCAUAUUGCAGAGGAAUUUAGCAAUAAAUUUAUAAACUAAUAAUUUAUAAUGUAUACUUCAAUUUCAUGUUUUCAGCUUCAGCCUUAAGUACAAUUACGAUAUAUUUACAAGAAUGCAGUUGCAGCUAAAAGCCCAUAAAUAAUUGGGCAAUGUAAACUUACGUGUUCUACUAAUUUAUUACCGGUUUUAAUAAGGUUUUUAUGAAAGAUUUGCAGCAGGGCGCGAGAAAUACCCGAGGAAUACACAGUGCGCGAGGGUAUAUAUGUACGAAUAGUUGUUUAGAGAUUUUGGUGUGGGAUGAUUGCUAUUGUCUGCAAAAAUAUAUUUUGAAUUAGGAGGAAAGCUGGGGUCGUUGCCACCAAACAUUACUAUCGCGCAAGUAGAAGCAUGUAUCCGCGUCUCUUAAUAAUAAAGACAGAUUUUAUUUUAAAGUUUGCUUUCAGGAUUGCUAUCACAAGUCGUCUUGGUUACAAAAAUUCAAUUAAGAAAGGAAGAUGAGAAAUGUAUCAAAUAACGCUUACUUCGAAUAAAGAUGACGGUUUUCACUCAAAGCUAUCCAUCUACGCCUGAAAACAGAAAUAAAUCCAUUCUAACCCAAAUACUACACACGCACACAUUGAUUUUCCAGAUCUCGCGCUUGGCUUCAGUAUGCGAGACGGCAGGACCUGGCUCAUUUACCACCUCGUCAGAUCUACAGCAGCUACCGCCUGUGCUCUGCCCAUUUCACCAGCAGAGACUACGCAGACCCUGGACAGACAAGGCUGCUAAGAUGUGCUGUGCCAACAGUUUCCAUCUUUGGCGAUGGGCAGACACACGUCGAAAGUCCAGGCUCUCCUCGGCCCGCGAAUACCACUGCAAUGCCCGCUCACAGCGCCGAUGAAGAAGUUCAGCAGACUGAGCCCUCAUGUUCCAAUCCAGCGGGUCGACAACACAAGCCUUCUAGGUGCUCGCCCCGGACAGCCAGAAAAAUGAAGACCCUGGAGAAGAUAAAUUCAAGGCUUCGGAAGGCACUGUCAAGAACUGGCAAGAGAAAGGUUAAAAAGCUUUCCCAGUCCGAGGCGUUGAAUGCUAUCAGGCCCUACGUCCGCAAGACAUUCUUUAGAUUGCUUGAGACUCAAGUUAAAAUUAAUGGUGUGAAACGUGGAGGACGGAGGUGGUCGCCCGAGCACCGCCAGUUCGCUUUAAACUUAUACUUUCAUGGUCCGAAAGCGUACAGACAUCUGUCAAGACUGCUUGACAUGCCAACUGUGAGGUCGCUAAAGCAGUGGUUAUCAAAUAUUCCGAUGACUCCCGGAGUUAUUCCAACCGCUAUUGAAGCCCUCGAAAAAGCUACCCGAAAUUG